AAUUCAGGUGGGACCGAAGGACCAUUAAGUCAGUAACUCACCAUUUCAGAGAAAUGUCACAGUCUAUUCAGAAGGAUGAGUGGAGGUCUCUUCCAGCUUCUGGGCACUUACUUAUUAUUUCUGGAUUUUGCCUCUAAAGAAUUUCAUUGAUCUCCAAGAACCCCUCCAGGUUAAGGAUGACCUUCACCCACUUUUCAAGAUUUCUUUAACAAUUGAAAGAAAUGGGAAUGACAUGAAAGUUGGAAUUCUAAAUCAGCUCAUUCAGCCUCCAUUGUCAAUAACUCUAAUCCAUCCAUCCUGUUACAUGUAUAACAAUCCAUCAUUACAUAGAGAUAGUCCAGUUUCUGAGAUUGUCUUCAUUAGCACAUCUUCAGACAAGUCGGACUUAGUCAGUCUGGUAGACUCCAUUUGAAUCCUCUUUAGUUCCUCCCUGGCCUGUCCCUAAUUCCUCCCCAACUCCUGGAACACUUCUCCCCUUACUCCCCAAACUCUGACCUUGCUCCUCCUCCUUCCCUGAGAUUUUAAAGGUUUCUGAAUCCAGGAAGAAUGCUAUCCAAUCAACUCUGAUUCUGCCUUGUUUAGUCAUGUUUGGUUGAAGUUGUGAGCUAUUUCAUGAAAAAACUGGAAAGUCUUUGUCAUGUAAUAAAUAUCUCACAUGA